GAACCCCUAUGUACCCUAGUUUGGUUAGAUGUUAUUUCCCUAAAGUUUGAAUGGUUUUGGAAUGUUUUUGGGUAAAAAAAAGUUCAUGGAAAAAUUUUGGGUUUUUCAUGAAUGUUCUUCAUUGUUCUUGACAUUUUUGCCAAGAACAAAAAGGUUUGUGUUUUGAUUCAAAGUUUGGUUAAUUUCAUAAAGUCUUUGUUUUGUGUUGGUUGAAGUGAAUUUUCUAUCACCAAAACAUUUUUUUUUGAAAGGUGAUAGAAAUUGUGAUGGGUGUGUAAGACUUACACACCUUACACACCUUACACACCACAUGCAUGGUUUUAUGAUUCACAACAACCAAAUUCCACUUGCAAGGCUUUAUGAAAUUGUCCACAAAAAUUUCCAAAUUUUUGUGGACUUAUCUCCACUCCCUUUCCCUCUCUAAAAACCGGCCCUCCCUCAAGUGGGAGUACUUUUGGGGCUUUUAUGCAAUUACAUAAAGUUUUGAUACUUUUGUGUAUUUUCACUUUGGCCCAAAAGUUUACGUUUUUACGUUUAGGUCCAAAAACGCUAAAGGACAAAUUGUUUUG
rnacentral:lncRNA from 1 species